CUUUGUCUGAUCAGGGUUUGUCCAUAGUUUUCAAUUUAGAGCUUAAAAACGUACAUAUAGAAAUCUAAAAUGUAAAUCACCGCUAUGUAUAAUGAAGGACAUUAGAACAAAAUAUUAUUCAGUUAUGAAAUACACUUUAAACAACGCACAAUUAAAAUAUUUCCAAAAGAACAAUGGCUUGCGGAGCCUCAGACGCCGCCUAGUGGUUAUAUCAUGAAAUUCCAGGGCAACUGGAUAUCAGAUAAAAAAAUGCAGCCAUGUCUAAGACGUUAAAUUGCUUCUGCAUUUUACCUUUAGUGUAAUUUCGCGAAUAGACAGAGGUAUAGACAUCUUUUGUUUUGUCACUGCAGCAAGAUUUACAUAUGUUUUUGGAGGCGAGAAACCUUUUUCCCUCUUGGUCCUCAAGUUAAUUCUUUGGAUUAAUCCAAGACCCAACUAUUAUACAUUGAAGUAAACAAAUUAAACCAAAAUGAACUUCCAAGUACCUUAUGCCUUGUUACAAACAAUUGAAAAUCUGAACUUCUGAUAAAAACAGAACCCAUAAACUGAUCUGUAAUGGUAAACAUCGCCAGAAAUGUAGUUUCCUAGGCUGUGCUGCAUAGAACACGUGCGGCUCUCCGAAAUGUACAGGAGCUGGGCUUAAUGUCUGGGACUUGAGUGCAUUUAGGCGUUUCUGAGACACGAAGGGCAAGGUAUGAGUACAAGAUUUGUCAGAAGCCAUCAUUACAUGCUAAAAGGCCUCGUGGUAAUCUGCCAAACAAGCAUCAGACAUGGCAAAUAAACACACAGGUUCAUAUACUUAAAAAUGGACUACACCAAUCUUCCAAAUUACACUACGACAUUGAUCUAACGUGCGUAAUUCCAGGCUGCGACCUAUGUGAGAUUUCAUGGCCGUACGUUAUUUAUCUUCGAAUCUAAGGCAUUCAGUCUUUGUUCCCGUUUGAUUUUAAGAAGUCGGGUUUUAUUCAAAUGGAUUCUAUUAAUCAAUUAAACUAUCCAAAUAAGCUAAAAGGUACGAUUUUCUUUGGAUAUUAAAAUCCACAGUGAAGAUGGCCAUUAUUUCUCGUUAUAAUGUAGCAAAUCCGAAAGGAAGCGAAACAUGGUUCAUGUCCACGAUUACGUCACUGUCCUUGCGCUCGCUGCACGCGACAUUUAACCUCAGAACCUUUAGCGCCCUCUACAGUCCACCAUCGUUACUGCAGCGCACUAUGGCGCGAAGUUGCGCUGUCUUCUUCUGAAGUACUGCAGUGAUAAUUGAAUAUUCGGAGAUGUUGCGGAUCAACAUUUACAUAUUUAUAUUUUGAUCUGAAAAGGUCCAAGUAAUAUGCAAGCUUUAGGAAAACUUGCUGGUGUGUAUAUUUUAAUUGCAAUAAAGAGGAUAACGGGAAAAUAGAGACGUCGAAGGAACACAAAUAUGCACACGGAGGUGGAAAUGUUUAGCCGAGGGCCGUCACACCAAGAGUCUGGUGAGAGGAAGCGGUCCAGACUCCCGCAUCACGCCGGCAGCCGGCACUGAGAGUGAGGAGCUGGAUGUCACGUCCGAACCCCACCUGAUACUCUGGCCAAAGCCCCCAGACCCAUGAACUGGAGCAGCCAAAGCUGAUGGUUCACUCUGUGCCAGUCCUGUGUCUCUCUGCCUGAUCGUGCUGGUGUUGUGCUGACCAACAAUCAAGGUGGCGAUUGACUUCAUUGAGGUCUGUUGGUUUUGAUUCUGAACCAGAUGUCUAAAAAAUUUUU